rnacentral:miRNA from 1 species
GCAGACACAUUCCAGCCAACAGCAGCAGACCCUCCCUCCCAGUCCCUCACACCUCCUGGACAGCAUCCAUUUUACAUUCAUUGUGAAGCUGCAUUCUUAGUGAGCUGUCCAGGAGGUAGGAGGGUCUGGGAGGGAGGGUCUGCUGCUGAUUGGCUGGAAUGUGUCU